rnacentral:lncRNA from 1 species
UUUGGAAAAGUCACAACUCAUCGAAAACUCACAACCCUUUGAAAAAAGUCACAAAUCAUCGAAAACUCACAACCCUUUGAAAAAUUAGUAAAACAAAAUUAGUAAAUAACUAUUUUGAAGAAUACUUCCUGACAAUAUAAAUCACAUAAGUAGCAUUAAUAAAUAAGGUCAUUCUUUUUUAUUGAGCAUCAAAAAACCAAAUUAUGA